AGACUUCUCCCGAUUUCCCCCCUCCAUUUCGCCCGUCUUUCGAGCACUCAAGAAGGGUUUCGCCGUUCUUCCUCCGCCGCGCCGCGCCCUGAGAGCGCUCUCGAUCGAAAAUAUAGGAAGAAGUGAACAUUCUUGAAAUUGACGCAUUGUGGGGACUCGAGGCUCUUAUUUUCCUUUUGUUCUUGAUCGGUGAAUAUUUCUAGUCAUGGAAAGCAGCAGUGAUGCCAGCUACGCCGUAGCCACGGAAGUCGGCUGGUAUAUCCUCGGGGAGAAUCAAGAACAUGUCGGCCCUUAUGCGCUGUCGGAGUUGCAAGAACAUUUUGCAAAUGGAUAUAUCUCAGAAAACACCGUUCUGUGGUCUGAGGGGAGGAGUGAGUGGGCGCCACUAUCCUCAAUACGGGAGUUAUAUGCAGGGAUGCCCAUCAAGAAACUUGAUGGUUCUGCUGCAGAUCUGCCAGAUGAAGAUGAUGACUUUACAAAAUGGCAGAAAGAGGUUCAAGAGGCUGAGGCAGCGGCUGAGGCUUUGAAAAAUGGCACUACGAUUAGUGUCCUUGCUGAAGGGGGAGAGGGUCUACAGGAAGGAGCAGGUUUAGGCGCUGAUGAUCAGCCCACGACUCCACCUGAUGGGGAGGAAGAAUUUACUGAUGAUGAUGGAUCCACAUAUAAGUGGGAUCGGGCUCUUAGGAAAUGGGUUCCUCAAGAUAACUUAUUAAGUGAAAAAAGUGGGUAUGGAGUAGAAGACAUGACCUUUGCACAAGAGGAGGAAGUAUAUCUUGCACCAGAGGUUCCGGAGCCCUCAGUCUCUGAAGCAAAAGAUUCCUCCACCAAGAGCAUGGAGUCAAAACCCGAGACGAAGAGGAAGUUGCCUGAUAAGCCAACUGAAAAGAAGGAAGCUAAUAAACCUCCAGAGAGUUGGUUUGAUCUAAAAGUGAAUACUCAUGUUUAUGUGACAGGAUUGCCUGAUGAUAUUACUGUUGCUGAAAUUGUGGAAGUAUUCUCAAAAUGCGGGCUCAUAAAGGAGGAUCCUGAAACUAAAAAGCCUCGUGUAAAGAUCUAUACGGACAAAGAAACAGGUAGAAUAAAAGGGGAUGCACUUGUGUCAUACUUGAAGGAACCAUCUGUUGCCUUAGCAAUACAAAUUUUGGAUGGAACACCUCUCCGUCCUGGUGGGAAGACAGUUAUGUCUGUAAGCCAAGCUAAGUUUGAGCAAAAAGGAGAAGUAUUUGUAGCAAAGCAAACAGACAAGAAAAAGAAGAAGAAAUUAAAGAGAGUUGAAGACAAGAUUCUUGGAUGGGGUGGACAUGAUGAUGCAAAGGCGACAAUUCUGGCUACUGUUGUUUUGCGCAACAUGUUCACACCCGCUGAGUUAAGGGCUGAUGAGAGUCUUCUGCCAGAACUAGAGCAAGAUGUUAGAGAGGAAUGUGUGAAACUGGGCCCAAUUGAUUCAGUUAAGGUUUGUGAAAGUCAUCCACAAGGUGUGAUUUUAGUGAAAUUUAAGGAUCGGAAAGAUGCUACAAAGUGCAUCGAGCUGAUGAAUGGAAGAUGGUUUGGUGGAAGACAGAUACAUGCGAGCGAGGACGAUGGUUCUGUCAACCAUGCUCUUAUUCGUGAUAUUGAUGCCGAGAUGUCAAGGCUGGAGCAGUUUGGUGCAGAACUGGAUGCAGACUGACGGGUAUACAGUUCCUGUCAACAAACUCCUGUUAUUGCAAAUUCAAAGAACAAAGAAACAUAGAUGGAGGAGACCAUGUUUUCGCUGGCUGAAGAACUGCAACCAAAUGCUGCAAGCACUGCUAGUACAGAUCCUUUUACUGUGGUAUUGACCAUCUUUUGUGAUAUUUGAAUUAGCUAUGUGCUGCCUACCUCAAAUGGGCUGGAUUUGCUCAAGUUAUGCCAUAUCUUAGUCUGUACCGCACUCCAAAAUGCUUGUACAAGUGUUUGAGUAAGUUAGCUGCCAUGUUAAAAUCAUAGAGUUUUCAUCCAAGUUGAUGGAUCAUCUCGUGGCUGUAUUAAAUCAUUCUUGCUCGGCGCCAACAUGAUGGUGGUAGUCCAUAUUUUUCUAUAUAGUUUCAUUGUUGUGCUA